UCGUCGUCGUCGUCGGCUCGUCGUCGCGGCGCUCCUCUCGGCGGCGGCCGAGACCGGCGCGUUCGCCGCCACCUCUCCACCGUUACUACCAGAUGCUGCUCCAUGCUACGAUCGCUGAUGUACGAUGUGGCGAGGGGAUCCCAUAGCGUGGCCUCCGUGCCGUCUAUCUUGACUUGGAUGAGUCUUAUUAAUCCUCUUCUCUUUGGGUGCUGGCAUUUUAUAUUUGCAAGACAAGCAAAAUGUUGAAUGAGCAGGGCCUGUUCAGAAGAACAAGCAAUGUUGACUACAGAAAAAGAAAAGGAGCCUGAUGUUGAAAAAUCAAAAGAAACCAAUUUUGGAACAUGUCACAUCAGCAUUAGUGAACUGUUAUCAUCUCAAUUUUACAACACACGAUGUUUCUUCGCUCAGGUUCCUUUGUAAGCAGAAAGCAUCUUUACGGAAUAUAAAUAGCCAAGCUUGCGGGAAGCAUCUGGUUCCUUUGUGAAUCUUUUAAUAAAGACUACUCAAUAUUCUUGGUAUCUGUUGUGAAGAUGUGGUGUUAUAUUCUUGUAUGGAUAUUGUGGUCUUGCUACUACAUAAAUUUAAGAGUGUGGAACUUUCAGCUGCCACCAGCCAGUACCAUUAUAAAAACAAUGCACUGUUCUCCAUUCAGCAAGAUAUCAGCUCAAGAUGUGCAGAAAAAUAGACAUCUGGAAAUUAUGUACACUGGAUAUGAAUGCUUCUGGAACUAAAAUCAAUUAAGUUUAUUUUCUAGAGUUGACAGAUGAUCUGGAGAGCUUUGUGCUAAAAUGUUAUGGUGAGUCAAUAAACUAUCGGAUGGGACUUCCUUUUCUCAAGGAUGUUAUCCAUGCAAUGGAAGAAGCAAUCAUACCUAAAGAAGGUACUGAUGCCUCCAAGUCUGCCUUCUAUGGUUUAUGCCUUCAUCUUGCCAUUGGUCUUGGCAUUCGUAUAGUAUCAGAUGAUGAGUUCUUUACAGCAGUUUUAUUGAAUGUAUAACGACAACAUGCGAUCUUCUAUGAUAAUCAUUACUGAAGAUAUUACAAGUAACAUUGAGGUGUAAACUACUAAACUGUCAAAUUGAAAUUUCCAAUUCUUGAAAUUGUAAAAACCACCCUGAUGGUAUGUAUAAGAAGGCAAGGCUCCGAUUCGCACGUGCAGAAACUGUUGUGCCUUUCUCAUGUCUUCUUGGUCUUUUUCUUGAAGGAUCAGAUUUUGAGAAGAUACAACAGGAGGAAUUGUUGGACGUACAGAGAAGACAUUGGAAGCGCAUUGUUGUAGCACCUUUUGCUGGUAAUAAUAUGUUAGCUUUGUACCCGCCCAGGAUAAACUGAUGGCACUAAGAUCUUUCAGGAUCAGAAGAGCCCACUCAUACUUUGUGCAGGUUCUACACAACGAAGUUCCAGUUUCAAUGCCGGGUUGCAGGAACAACGAUCUCUGCGCAUUCGAGGAAUUGAAGGAAAAGAUAGUUGAACCCCACCUGAAGAACGACUUCGAUGCCCUAUUCAAGAAAAGGCCGGUGGUAAGAGAGGAUGUUGAAUUUCUUCCUAGAUUUGUUCUCGCGGAAAGGGUACCGUGCUAGUGCUCAGAAUGUGAAGACGGAGUUGUAGAUAUCUAUACUGGCUUUGGAAGAAUCUUGUACAUUUUGCGCUGAGCUGCUAUUGCAUAUCCAUCUGGCAUGGUCCAUGGAUGAUGACUUGUGGACUAACCUACGGUUUUGAUCUGUACUUGCCACCCUCGGUACGACGAAUGAGUAGAAUAAGCCUUUCAGAGCUUGAUCGAUGUAAUUUUCGUUUUAAUCUUAGCUUUAUUUUUUCCCCAACGGUUGUGAAUUGUGAUCUUUUGUUGUAAGUUGAGAUCACUGGAAAAUUCAGUAUAUUAUUGGCAAUUGCAGCUGCAUCAUUCGCAGUUGACAUCG